UAUAUAUUUUUAGCUCACCUGUCACAAAGUGACAAGGUGAGCUUUUGUGAUCACGCAGCGUCCGUCGUCCGUCGUCCGUCCGUGCGUUAGUCCGUCCGUGCGUGCGUAAACUUUUGCUUGUGACCACUCUAGAGGUCACAUUUUUCAUGGGAUCUUUAUGAAAAUUGGUCAGAAUGUUCAGCUUGAUGAUAUCUAGGUCAAGUUCGAAACUGGGUCACGUGCGGUCAAAAACUAGGUCAGUAGGUCUAAAAAUAGAAAAACCUUAUGACCUCUGUAGAGGCCAUACUUAUGAAUAGAUCUUCAUAAAAAUUGGCCAGAAUGUUCACCUUGAUUAUAUCUAGGUCAAGUUCGAAAGUGGGUCACGUGUUUUCAAAAAGUAGGUCAGUAGGUCAAAUAAUGAAAAAACCUUGUGACCUCUCUAGAGGCCAUAUUUUUCAUGGGAUCUGUAUGAAAGUUGGUCUGAAUGUUCAUCUUGAUGAUAUCUAGGUCAGGUUCGAAACUGGGUCAACUGCAGUCAAAAACUAGGUCAGUAGGUCUAAAAAUAGAAAAAUCUUGUGACCUCUCUAGAGACCAUACUUUUCAAUGGAUCUUCAUGAAAAUUGGUCAGAAUGUUCACCUUGAUGACAUCUAGGUCAAGUUCGAAACUGGGUCACAUGCCAUCAAAAACUAGGUCAGUAGGUCAAAUAAUAAAAAAACCUUGUGACCUCUCUAGAGGCCAUAUUUUUCAUGGGAUCUGUAUGGAAGUUGGUCUGAAUAUUCAUCUUGAUGAUAUCUAGUUCAAGUUCGAAACUGGGUCAACUGUGGUCAAAAACUAGGUCAGUAGGUCUAAAUAUAGAAAAACCUUUUGACCACUCUAGAGGCCAUAUUUUUCAAUGGAUCUUCAUGAAAAUUUGUCUGAAUGUUCACCUUGAUGAUAUCUAGAUAAAAUUUGAAACUGGGUCACAUGUUGCCAAAAUUAGGUCAGUAGGUAUAAAAAUAGAACAACCUUGUGACCUCUCUAGAGGCCAUACUCUUCAUGAGAUCUUUAUGAAAAUUGGUGAGAAUGUUCACCUUGAUAAUAUCUAGGUCAAGAUCAGAACUGGGUCAUGUGCCUUUAAAAACUAGGUCAUUAGGUCAGAUAA